CACGUAGAUGGCUUUGUAAGUCGGAUGUGAAAUCCCCGGGCUCAACCUGGGAACUGCAUUCGAAACUGCAUUGCUCGAAUGUGGAAGAGGGAAGCGGAAUUCCAGGUGUAGCGGUGAAAUGCGUAGAUAUCCGGAGGAACAUCAGUGGCGAAGGCGGCUUCCUGGUCCAACAUUGACAUUCAGGUGCGAAAGCGUGGGGAGCAAACAGGAUUAGAUACCCUGGUAGUCCACGCCAUAAACGAUGAGAACUAGAUGUCGGGAGGGUUAGCCUUCCGGUGUCGCAGCUAACGCGUUAAGUUCUCCGCCUGGGGAGUACGGCCGCAAGGUUGAA
rnacentral:rRNA from 1 species